rnacentral:rRNA from 1 species
CACUGAGAGAUUAUAACUCUUAGCAAUGCCUGCCCAGUGCGAUUAACUUCGUAAACGGCCGCCCUAGCGUGAGGGUGCUAAGGUAGCGAAAUUCCUUGCCUUUUAAUUGUAGGCCUGCAUGAAUGGCUCGACGAGGGUUUAACUGUCUCUAGUCUUAAAUUUUAAAUUGGAUUAAAGGUGAAGAUACCUUUAUAAAAAAGUCAGACAAGAAGACCCCGUGCAACUUUUAAAAUCAGCUUAUUAAGAAAUCUUAGAUUUUUAGGUGGGGCGCCUAUUAAGUAAGUGUAACCUUUUUAACUACAAAAAACUCUCAGGUAUAGACCCGGUAAUUACCGAUCAUAGGAGAAGUUACGCCGGGGAUAACAGGCUAAUUCACUAGUAGAGAACGUAUUGGCUAGUGAGAUUGGCACCUCGAUGUUGAAUCAGGGAUGAUACCUUUAAGGCGUAGAAGCUUUAAAAGUAGGUCUGUUCGACCUUUAAUACCCU